CAACAGGUUUUUUUUAAAACUAUGUUAAAUAAGAUAAAGCGAUGUGU
rfam:Scleropages formosus scaffold11248, whole genome shotgun sequence.